AACGAACGCUGGCGGCAGACCUAACACAUGCAAGUCGAGCGGAUCCUUCGGGAUUAGCGGCGGACGGGUGAGUAACGCGUGGGAAUAUGCCCUUCUCUACGGAAUAGCCUCGGGAAACUGGGAGUAAUACCGUAUACGCCCUACGGGGGAAAGAUUUAUCGGAGAAGGAUUAGCCCGCGUUGGAUUAGGUAGUUGGUGGGGUAAUGGCCUACCAAGCCUACGAUCCAUGGCUGGUUUGAGAGGAUGAUCAGCCACACUGGGACUGAGACACGGCCCAGACUCCUACGGGAGGCAGCAGUGGGGAAUCUUAGACAAUGGGGGAAACCCUGAUCUAGCCAUGCCGCGUGAGUGAUGAAGGCCUUAGGGUUGUAAAGCUCUUUCAGCUGGGAAGAUAAUGACGGUACCAGCAGAAGAAGCCCCGGCUAACUCCGUGCCAGCCGCCGCCGUAACAC
rnacentral:rRNA from 1 species